CUUUUCAUGACUCUAAAACGGUCUUGGAAUAAGGGGUGGGUAAGGACGGUGCCAGCCGCCGCGGUAAUACUGGCGCCUCAAGUGGUCGUCGCUUUUAUUGGGCCUAAAACGUCCGUAGCCGGUUUGGCACAUUCGUGGGUAAAUCAACUCGCUCAACGAGUUGAAUUCUGCGAGGACGGCCAGACUAGGGACCGGGAGAGGUGUGGGGAACUCUCAGGGUAGGGGUAAAAUCCUGUCAUCCUGAGAGGACCACCUGUUGCGAAGGCGCCACACUAGAACGGAUCCGACGGUCAGGGACGAAGCCUAGGGGCACGAACCGGAUUAGAUACCCGGGUAGUCCUAGGUGUAAACGCUGUGGACUUGGUGUUGGGGAAGACUAGAGCUUUCCCAGUGCCGUAGCGAAGGUGUUGAGUCCACUGCCUGGGGAGUACGGUCGCAAGGCUGAAACUUAAAGGAAUUGGCGGGGGAGCACUGCAACCGGAGGAUUGUGCGGUUUAAUUGGAGUCAACGCCGGAAAUCGA
rnacentral:rRNA from 1 species